UCUCAGUGUCCAAAGUGCUGUUUGUGCAGGUAGCUCACUCUCUAGCCCUACUGCAAAAUCAGCACUUCAUGACACAGAGA
rnacentral:pre_miRNA from 1 species